GGCGAACGGGUGAGUAACACGUGGGUGAUCUGCCUCGUACUUUGGGAUAAGCCUGGGAAACUGGGUCUAAUACCGAAUAUGACCUUCCCUCGCAUGGGGGUUGGUGGAAACUUUUGGGUACGAGAUGGGCCCGCGGCCUAUCAGCUUGUUGGUGGGGUAAUGGCCUACCAAGGCGACGACGGGUAGCCGGCCUGAGAGGGCGACCGGCCACACUGGGACUGAGACACGGCCCAGACUCCUACGGGAGGCAGCAGUGGGGAAUAUUGCACAAUGGGCGCAAGCCUGAUGCAGCGACGCCGCGUGAGGGAUGACGGCCUUCGGGUUGUAAACCUCUUUCACCAGGGACGAAGAGAAAUUGACGGUACCUGGAGAAGAAGCACCGGCCAACUACGUG
rnacentral:rRNA from 1 species